AGUGAACGCUGGCGGUAGGCCUAACACAUGCAAGUCGAACGGCAGCACAGUAAGAGCUUGCUCUUACGGGUGGCGAGUGGCGGACGGGUGAGGAAUACAUCGGAUUCUUCUUUUUCGUGGGUGAUAACGUAGGGAAACUUCCGCUAAUACCGCAUACGACCUACGGGUGAAAGCAGGGGUUCUUCGGACCUUUCGCGAUUGUAUGAGCCGAUGUCGGAUUAGCUAGUUGGCGGGGUAAAGGCCCACCAAGGCGACGAUCCGUAGCUGGUCUGAGAGGAUGAUCAGCCACACUGGAACUGAGACACGGUCCAGACUCCUACGGGAGGCAGCAGUGGGGAAUAUUAGGCAAUGGGCGCAAGCCUGAUCCAGCAAUACCGCGUGGGUGAAGAAGGCCUUCGGGUUGUAAAGCCCUUUUGUUGGGAAAGAAAAGCAGCAGGUUAAUACCCCGCUGUUCUGACGGUACCCAAAGAAUAAGCACCGGCUAACUUCGUG
rnacentral:rRNA from 1 species